rnacentral:rRNA from 1 species
UAGAGUUUGAUCCUGGCUCAGAUUGAACGCUGGCGGCAGGCCUAACACAUGCAAGUCGAACGGUAACAGGAAGAAGCUUGCUUCUUUGCUGACGAGUGGCGGACGGGUGAGUAAUGUCUGGGAAACUGCCUGAUGGAGGGGGAUAACUACUGGAAACGGUAGCUAAUACCGCAUAACGUCGCAAGACCAAAGAGGGGGACCUUCGGGCCUCUUGCCAUCGGAUGUGCCCAGAUGGGAUUAGCUAGUAGGUGGGGUAACGGCUCACCUAGGCGACGAUCCCUAGCUGGUCU